rnacentral:rRNA from 1 species
AGUGAACGCUGGCGGUAGGCCUAACACAUGCAAGUCGAACGGCAGCACAGGAGAGCUUGCUCUCUGGGUGGCGAGUGGCGGACGGGUGAGGAAUACAUCGGAAUCUACUUUUUCGUGGGGGAUAACGUAGGGAAACUUACGCUAAUACCGCAUACGACCUACGGGUGAAAGCAGGGGACCUUCGGGCCUUGCGCGAUUGAAUGAGCCGAUGUCGGAUUAGCUAGUUGGCGGGGUAAAGGCCCACCAAGGCGACGAGCCGUAGCUGGUCUGAGAGGAUGAUCGGCCACACUGGAACUGAGACACGGUCCAGCCUCCUACGGGAGGCAGCAGUGGGGAAUAUUGGACAAUGGGCGCAAGCCUGAUCCAGCCAUACCGCGUGGGUGAAGAAGGCCUUCGGGUUGUAAAGCCCUUUUGUUGGGAAAGAAAUCCAGCUGGCUAAUACCCGGUUGGGAUGACGGUACCCAAAGAAUAAGCACCGGCUAACUUCGUGCCAGCAGCCGCAGUAA